rnacentral:rRNA from 1 species
CCUACGGGUGGCAGCAGUGGGGAAUAUUGCACAAUGGGGGAAACCCUGAUGCAGCGACGCCGCGUGAAGGAAGAAGUUUUUCGGUAUGUAAACUUCUAUCAGCAGGGAAGAAAAUGACGGUACCUGACUAAGAAUCCCUGGCUAACUACGUGCCAGCAGCCGCGGUAAUACUUAGGGGGCAAGCGUUAUCUGGAUUUACUGGUUGUAAAGGUAGCGUAGGCGGUUUAGCAAGUCAAAAGUGAAAGCCCGGGGCUCAACUCCGGGACUGCUUUUGAAACUGUUAAACUAGAGUGCAGGAGAGGAUAGUGGAAUGCCAAGUGUAGCGGUGAAAUGCGUAGAUAUCAGGAGGAACACCAGUGGCGAAGGCGACCAGCUGGACUGCAACUGACGUUGAGGAGCGAAAGCGUGGGGAGCAAACAGGAUUAGAUACCCCGGUAGUC